UUUGGCUUCCUGUUUGCUUUCAGAUUAGUUCUUCUUGCACCUGGCAGACAACACUGGGGACUGCAUCUUCUGAACACUUUUGCAAAGAGAAAAAUCCAUCACGCUUCCUCACCAGCCCAGCUCUGCUUUGCUUAUGAGCCCUGACAAGAUCACAGCUUGAGCAACGAGGAGACACAUUACAAUGUAGAGAAUGCUACCGAGGAGAGACCAAGGGGAAUAAAGAGGAGAGCAGCAGCAAUCAACACAAAGCUAAGACAUCUGGUGGAGGCAGAACAAGUGUGUUAAAAGACAAAGCAUACAUUUAUCAGCUACUUCAAAUGUACGCAGGUGGCUGACAUUCCAUGAAUGUCCUGGCAGACCAUCAGUUGGCUAGUUGCUCAGAGAUACUUCAUAAGAAACAGGUGUAUGCUUCAAAAUUGCUUGAAGUUAAUUCCUCAUGACAGAGAUACGGGGUUCCACAUAUAAGUUUAAAUAGUUAUGACCAGAGAGAGUGGGAAUAUCAGUGCAACAACUUGUAAGCUCUGGUGUUGGUGGGAGUGGCAGUUGGAGGUAUAGGACUUGGGGUCAGAUGGAGCAGAUACAUUAGCAAAGGGAUGGACUGUGCAGAAAGCAGGUUGUUCCUGGCAUCUCAUUCUGCCUGUACUUUUCUCUUUUUAUGGUGAUACAAGUUAUGCAAAAAGAUGCUGAUGUAGUUAAUCCAAAGUGAUCAAUUUAUGCUUUUCCCCAUGGUAUGUUGCUAUGGGCAUAAAUAACUGUGACUUUCAGGAAUGUGGAGACUCACAGCUGCAGGUACAGGAAAAAAAAAGAAUGUCAAAUGAAACUAGGUGUCUUGGGGAUGCACAUAGCUUUAGACUUCGCAAUGCUCUCAAACAGAUUUUCAAGCUGUAUGUUUAUCAGUCUGUUUAACUGUAUUUUGAAAAUUUGCUAAUAGAUUAGUCUAAAGCAAAUGGCCCUGGAUCUGUAGCAGCUGUUUCCAUUCUCUAAGGAAGCCUUCUCGUCCUCAAGUCCAAUCUUUAAAGGCUUUUUGGCAAUUGUAACAUUAAAAAAAGAAAGUCUUGCCCCAAGUUUCAAGCAGGAACAGAAAGAGGAAUUGCUGGUUUGAUCAAUCUUAUGCCGUGUGAGCUUCCCAUACUUAAUUUUUACCCAUCAGAUCAAAGACUAAGUUCUUUCCGACUGCACUGAACUUCUUUAAUUUCUUAGAAAAAAAGAAGCAGUAGUAUCACAGAAGGAGCAUGUUGUUAAUAUUUGAAUAGAUUUUGUGCCUCAUGUAAUUACAUGAAAAAAUAAAAUAACGAAAAUUCUGGCUUUUCAUGUAGAGCAAAUGACAUAUCAACUUUUCAGAAGUUUUACCUAGUAAAAAGUGUCUUCUGCAUUCCAAUAUGGAAAAACCUCUGUUUUUAAUUGCAUGUAAGCAAAUACCUUCCUAAUUUGUGACUGAAAACGUAUUUGUACUGGGACCUGAGGAUUCUACAGUUUUACAGAAAACUAAACCAUCGAAUGCUUCAAAGAGUUUGUAAAACUAAUUAAUUGAGAGUCUCAUACUAAUAAAAGAUUACUAAGCCUUCCAAAUCCAGGUGUCUGUCUGUGGUUCAAUUGCUGGACUUCAGGGAUAUCUAGGGCUACACUUCAGGAAAAUAUACACAAUUAAACACAUUUUUAUGUAAAUGCUAAACACUUCACAUACCUCCGUAAAGCCUGUAUGUUUAAACUAUAUGUAUGUAUUCUCUGUCAUAGGAAUAUUUUUCCAAACAAGGUCUGACAUGAUAUACAGAUGUACAGUGUAUAAAUACACCUGCUCAGUAGAGAG